GUAGGUGGCAAGCGUUGUCCGGAAUUAUUGGGCGUAAAGCGCGCGCAGGCGGUUCUUUAAGUCUGAUGUGAAAGCCCACGGCUCAACCGUGGAGGGUCAUUGGAAACUGGAGAACUUGAGUACAGAAGAGGAAAGCGGAAUUCCACGUGUAGCGGUGAAAUGCGUAGAGAUGUGGAGGAACACCAGUGGCGAAGGCGGCUUUCUGGUCUGUAACUGACGCUGAGGCGCGAAAGCGUGGGGAGCAAACAGGAUUAGAUACCCUGGUAGUCCACGCCGUAAACGAUGAGUGCUAAGUGUUAGGGGGUUUCCGCCCCCCUUAGUGCUGCAGCUAACGCAUUAAGCACUCCGCCUGGGAGUAUGGCCGCAAGGCUG
rnacentral:rRNA from 1 species